AAAAGUUUAAAUACAUCUGUUCUUAAUACAGUAUUCCCCACCUUUAACAUCAAUGACAGCUUGGUGUCUUUUGUGGUAGUUUUGGAUGACAACAUAA